rnacentral:rRNA from 1 species
UACGAAGGGAGCUAGCGUUGUUCGGAAUCACUGGGCGUAAAGCGCACGUAGGCGGAUUUGUCAGUCAGGGGUGAAAUCCCGGGGCUCAACCUCGGAACUGCCUUUGAUACAGCAAGUCUUGAGUUCGAGAGAGGUGGGUGGAAUUCCUAGUGUAGAGGUGAAAUUCGUAGAUAUUCGCAAGAACACCAGUGGCGAAGGCGGCUCACUGGCCCGGUACUGACGCUGAGGUGCGAAAGCGUGGGGAGCAAACAGGG